UACGUAGGGUGCAAGCGUUGUCCGGAAUUAUUGGGCGUAAAGAGCUCGUAGGCGGUCUGUCGCGUCGGCUGUGAAAACUUGGGGCUCAACCCCAAGCCUGCAGUCGAUACGGGCAGACUAGAGUGCGGUAGGGGAGACUGGAAUUCCUGGUGUAGCGGUGAAAUGCGCAGAUAUCAGGAGGAACACCGGUGGCGAAGGCGGGUCUCUGGGCAACAACUGACGCUGAGGAGCGAAAGCGUGGGGAGCGAACAGG
rnacentral:rRNA from 1 species